GCUGAUGUCACUGGGCACUGCUCUGACCUACAUGCUAACUUGCUCUCCCAAAAUUGACUAGAAGCUGAAGUUUCCUUUCCAAGAGUCUCUCCUGUGACACAAGGGAAACCCUUCAGCACCCCCUCCUACCAAAGCUAGAAAUUUCUCUCUGCUUCAUUAGGAGUAAAGUACUUUGGAUGGAUAGAGUUCAUUGGGCCUUGUUCUCAGGUCCAGACGUGAAGAUGAGAGAGGUUGAACCAUGAUCCUGUAUUCAUUCCAGACAAGACUCAGGAGGAGGGGCAGGGAGUGAAGGCCUGAGGUCCAAUGAAACCAGAGUGCUACCUGUGAGCACCAGGACCUCAUGCCUUGUUCAUGCUGGUGGCUUUGUCAACUUCACAAGGUCUGGAAUCCUCUGAGAGAUGAGCCUCUGGCCAUGCCUGUGUGGGGCUAUUUUGAUUAUGUUACUUGUGGUGGGAAAACCCACCCACUAUCGGUGGCACCCUUCACUAGGCUGGAAUCCUGGACUGUACAAAAAGGAAAAGGGGAGGUGAGCACAAGCCUUCAUCUCCCUUUGCUUCCUAACUGCAGAAUCAAUGUGACCAGCUGUCUCGAUGCCUGAUGCCAUGACAUCUCGGUCACAGUGGAAUAUAUUCUAGAAAUACGAGAUAAAAUAAAACCUUUCUCCCUUUCCUGGGGAUGUUUUAUCAGAGCAAAAAGAAAAAAAAUAAAGAAAAGUUAUAACGAGUCUUCAUAUUCUUCACGUACCAUGACGGUCUUAGAUUCUACCUAUUGUGACAUUCCUUUAG